rnacentral:rRNA from 1 species
CAGUAGCCGCGGGAAAACGGAGGAUCCGAGCGUUAUCCGGAAUUAUUGGGUUUAAAGGGUGCGUAGGCGGAUAGAUAAGUCAGUGGUGAAAGACGGUGGCUCAACCAUCGCAGUGCCGUUGAUACUGUUUAUCUUGAAUAUGGAUGAGGUAGGCGGAAUGUGGCAAGUAGCGGUGAAAUGCAUAGAUAUGCCACAGAACACCGAUUGCGAAGGCAGCUUACCAAGGCAAAAUUGACGCUGAGGCACGAAAGCGUGGGGAUCGAACAGGAUUAGAUACCCGAGUAGUCCCUGUCUCUUAUAC